CAAGUUGCCAUUCAUAUCCAUCUGCAGUUAAAAACUUCAUUUUUACACACUUUUCUGCUUCCUUAUCCACCUACAUAUUCACCUACUAAUCAUACUCCUCUUCUCUCUCUGUAUAUCUAUAUCUACUUCCCUUGACAAUUAUAGAAACCCCACCUCACACAUCUCUCUCUCUCUCUCUCUCCCUCUCUCCCACAAGAAACACAAAUCUUGAAAAUACCAGUUUCCAAAUCUGGGAUUUGCAGAGUACGCAAACCCCGUUAAUAAUUCUGUCCCAGUCCUCAUUAUAUGGGAUCCCUUUCUUCAAAACAAACUAGUAUUUACAAUGUCUCAAACUAGCUUCUAUUCCCCCAAAUCACCUCCCACUACAAGUGUUGGUUGCUGCUCAUCACUCUCAGCCCAGCUGAAGCUUUACCAAGCUUUCAUCUUUUCUGUGCCAAUCUUCUUCACUUUCAUCCUUCUCUUCUUCUUCUACUUGUUUUAUCUCCGCCGCCGCAGAGCUGACUGGUCUUCGCUCAGGAUGAGGACUGCUAGGCUGGCCACCAUUCAAAAUAAUAUAUCUACUUGUGAAAUGGGAUUGAAGAAGGAAGUGAGGGAGAUGCUGCCCAUUAUUGUAUUUAAAGAAAGUUUUUCUGUCAAAGAUACACAAUGCUCAGUUUUGCCUUGGUGAUUACCAAGCUGAGGAUAAACUUCAGCAGAUACCUGUAUGUGGCCAUACAUUUCACAUGGAAUGCAUUGAUCUCUGGCUUGCCACCCACACCACCUGCCCUCUUUGCCGCCUGUCUUUAUUAGCUUCCAGGGCAUCAGAAAAACCAACAGAUAACCAAUCAAAUGAAACGGAUCAAAGUCCUGAAUCUCCUGAUGUGGAAAAUCACGAUGAAAACUCUCCUCCGAGCAGUUCUCAGCUUUCGGGAGAACCACAAGUCAAUGAACAGAUAUUUAAUAUAGUUCAGCAAACUAAUGAAAACUUCCAAAGUCCUGAAUCUGCUGAUGUAGAAAAUCAUGAUGAAGUGUCUCCUCAGUGCAGUUCACAGCCUUCUGAAGAUCCUCAACCCACGAACAAAUAUCAAACAUAGUUCGCCAGGAGGAAUCAGAUCUGGAACUAGCAGUUGAAUGCAAGAAGUAGCUUCUUGUCAAUGGUUCUAAUCUGGAACGGCCUACUUAUUGCUAGGCCUAAAAUGCGAAGGCAGAGCAAAGUCUAAUUGAUCUUUCAGUCUGAUGGAGCAAAUUCAGGUCCGGAAAGAGCAUGAAAUUAGCUUUGUGAAGCGGCUCUCUUCAUGCUGACAGUUGUGCAUGGCUUGUAAAAAGUGUGAGUGUAGAACUAUAAACCAUUAAGUUUUGUUUGAAAAGUACAACAUUGAUAAUAUUAAAUAAAUUUCAUGAAAUUUGAUGCCUUCCUAGUAA